UUUUAAUUGGAUUUGGUGUGAUUACCUUGAGUGUCAACCUUUUUGAAAUGUAUCAAGUUCUAUCAUUUGGAAAUAAUAAAGAAGAGUUUUUAUUGAACUUUAUAGUUGUAAUCGUAAUUCUUUUAUAUAUGUUCUUAGCUAAUUACGCUGGACAAGAAAUUAUAGAUCACAAUAAUCAUAUAUAUUAUACCGCAUAUAGCGGUUGCUGGUAUGUAGCACCGUUACACGUACAGAAGCUGAUAUUAUUUUUAUUACAAAGAGGCAGCAAAGUUGUUAGUUUAAAUGUGGGAGGACUGUUCGCAGCAUCUUUAAACUGCUUUGCUUCCUUAGCAAGUGCAUCGGUAUCUUAUUUCACUUUUAUAUAUUCUACACAUUAA